UACGGAGGGGGCUAGCGUUGUUCGGAAUUACUGGGCGUAAAGCGCGCGUAGGCGGCCCUGCAAGUCGGGGGUGAAAGCCCGAGGCUCAACCUCGGAACUGCCUUCGAUACUGCGGGUCUCGAGUCCGGGAGAGGUGAGUGGAAUUCCUAGUGUAGAGGUGAAAUUCGUAGAUAUUAGGAAGAACACCAGUGGCGAAGGCGGCUCACUGGCCCGGUACUGACGCUGAGGUGCGAAAGCGUGGGGAGCAAACAGG
rnacentral:rRNA from 1 species